UGUCAAUAGGAAUAGGACACG
rnacentral:piRNA from 1 species